AUUGAACGCUGGCGGCAGGCCUAACACAUGCAAGUCGAGCGGUAGAGAGAAGCUUGCUUCUCUUGAGAGCGGCGGACGGGUGAGUAAUGCCUAGGAAUCUGCCUGGUAGUGGGGGAUAACGUUCGGAAACGGACGCUAAUACCGCAUACGUCCUACAGGAGAAAGCAGGGGACCUUCGGGCCUUGCGCUAUCAGAUGAGCCUAGGUCGGAUUAGCUAGUUGGUGAGGUAAUGGCUCACCAAGGCGACGAUCCGUAACUGGUCUGAGAGGAUGAGCAGCCACACUGGAACUGAGACACGGUCCAGACUCCUACGGGAGGCAGCAGUGGGGAAUAUUGGACAAUGGGCGGAAGCCUGAUGCAGCCAUGCCGCGUGUGGGAAGAAGGUCUUCGGAUUGUAAAGCACUUUAAGUUGGGAGGAAGGGUUGUAGAUUAAUACUCUGCAAUUUUGACGUUACCGACAGAAUAAGCACCGGCUACCUCUGUGCCAGCAGCCGCCGUAA
rnacentral:rRNA from 1 species